GAGAGAGAUUGAAAUUUGAGAUAAGUUAGAGAAAGAGAGAGCUCUGAGCCUGUGACUCUCGGAGGCUGGGAAAUGGGAAUGGAAGUGUGGAAAUGGGAGAGAGAGAAAGAAAGUGUGGAACUGAGAGAGAGAGAGAGAGAGAGAGAGAGAGAGAGAGAGAGAGAGAGUAUGGUUAAUUAGUGUGGAUUGACAGAUUGUGGUGCACUGGUGUGGGAGGAGGCGCCGAGGCGACUGGCGAGCGUCGGGCGAGCGGCGGGCGGCGCCUGGGGGUGGGCAUCAUGAUGCAUGCGUCAUGCUGCUCAUGCAUGAAGCGUGGCCCACAAGCAACUUUAGUGUUCAAAACAAUUGCAGUUUGGUCCCUAAAAAUU
rnacentral:lncRNA from 1 species